AUGAGGACUUUCCAUGUUGAAAGAGGAAUGGUGCACCCUGGCCAUCAGGUGUGUUGGGUUGCCAUUUGUGCUGAGCUACAUGUGCCGCAGGUGCAUUUAUGUCAACAAUAACAACAGUAUCUGAAGUUGCAUGAAUCGCAGCUGCAGGUAGGUUGCAGCGUUCUGGGGUGGGAACCGGGUACGAUCUGACACUCUUCGGGUUCCGAAAGAUUGUCUAAUAUGAAAAUAUAAUGGCAAACUAAUCAGUACACAACACAAGAAAAAUUAAACUACUAUUCUGCAAUUUGAGCUAUAACAAACUUUAUUCAACUUUAAAAAGCUGACUCCCUAGUAAGGGUAUUGCUAAUCCAAUUUUCACAAGUUAGAUGUCUAUAUGCCACAACAUAUCCAAAUAAAGAUUUAAGGAAAAGAAACCUCCACUUGACACAUAUGGCAACAUAUUCACAUUUUGAUCUAACCAUGGGUGGUCUAGCUAUUCUAAGGAAAAUGAUGUUGCUCUUUUGGCCAUAUUAAAGUUUCACAUGUGGAUUUCUAGGGUGUUCUUGGUUUUCUGGACAUCUCUUUCUUCUUUUAUUGUAAAUUCCCUAGCAACAGCAUAGGUUUCAACCAAACUGAGUUUCUUAGUCAACCAAACAUUGGAAUAGAAUACCUUUUUCUGAAUACAAACAAGGAUUACAUCAAGUGAGAAAGACACAACCUAAUCGUUAUUGAGUAUAUGUUGCAUGUACAUUUUCAGAAGUACAAACAUGACAUUCCCAUAUACCUGCAGAUGGAGGACAUCAGCUAAUGGCUUCUUCUUCAAAUGAGGCACAGUCAGGAGUUGAGAUGGAGUUUGACCAAAGUAGGCAAUUUGAUCUUGUGUGGCACGUUGUUGUGCCUGUUUCCAGAAAUUAGGGGAAAAAACAGUUAAACAGAGACCCUGAAAUU
rnacentral:lncRNA from 1 species